CCUCUCAAUGAUUUUGAGAGCGUAUCCUUUCUCCUUAAAGGACUCGGCUCCGAAUAUGAUCCUUUUGUGACGUCGGUCACAACCCGAGUCGACCCACUGUCCUUUGAUGAACUUUAUGGCCACCUCCUUGCUUAUGAGA